rnacentral:misc_RNA from 1 species
AUUACACUUUAAAAUCAAGUGGCGUUCUCAACAGCAAAAUAAGAUGUAAAAAUUGCUUUAUAUGAAAUCCCUCAAAAAAUACAGCUCCAGAACAAUUCCUUUUGGGCCUCAAACCCAUCGAUAAAAUUGGGGAAAAUUGCACAGAGACAACAAAGAGAAGUGAAGAAAGUGAAAAACAGAGGUUUAAUGGUGCUCUAAAUUCAAUCACAGCUAGAAGAUUAAACCUUGCCGACAUAAAUUUCUCAAAAACCCACUAUUUCUUCUUUGUUAAUUUGGUGUUCUUGGUCCAAAAAAGUGAGCAAAAAGGGAGUAAUGUGGAUGAGAUAUUCCUAUUUAUAGAAAGAAAAAGGAUUAUGAAUCAAUGGUCAAAAUUAUUUAUUUAUUUUUUCAG